UUUUGUUCUUUUUUCUUAUUUUGGCUUAGUUACGAUUAAUAGGAGUAGCUUGGGGGCAUUUGUAUUCAGAUGUCAGAGGUGAAAUUCUUAGAUUUUCUGGAGACAAGCAACUGCGAAAGCAUUUGCCUAAAAUACUUCCAUUAAUCAAGAACGAAAGUUAAGGGAGUGAAGACGAUCAGAUACCGUCGUAAUCUUAACCAUAAACUAUGCCGACUAGGUGUUGGAUGAUAGAGUAAAAAAUAAAAGGGACAUUCAUAUAUAUGAGUGUUUCUUUUAGAUAGCUUCCUUCAGUACCUUAUGAGAAAUCAAAGUCUUUGGGUUCUGGGGCGAGUAUUCGCGCAAGCGAGAAAGUUAAAAGAAUUGACGGAAGGGCACCACCAGGCGUGGAGCUUGCGGCUUAAUUUGACUCAACACGGGGAAACUCACUAGUUUAAGACAAGAGUAGGAUUGACAGAUUAAUAGCUCUUUCUUGAUUUCUUGGAUGGUGAUGCAUGGCCGUUUUUAGUUCGUGAAUAUGAUUUGUCUGGUUAAUUCCGAUAACGAACGAGAUCUUAACCUGCUAAUUAGCGGUAAAUACACUAUAUUCUUAAGUGAAAUUAGAAUAUAGAUAAAUUGUGCUAAUUUUGAUUAAAAUAUUAGAAUGUUUUUUUUAAUAAAAA
rnacentral:rRNA from 1 species